rnacentral:rRNA from 1 species
UACGUAGGGGGCAAGCGUUGUCCGGAAUUAUUGGGCGUAAAGGGCUCGUAGGCGGUUUGUCGCGUCGGGAGUGAAAUCCACUGGCUUAACUGGUGGCUUGCCUUCGAUACGGGCAGACUGGAGGUAUGCAGGGGAGAACGGAAUUCCAGGUGUAGCGGUGAAAUGCGUAGAUAUCUGGAGGAACACCGGUGGCGAAGGCGGCAUCCUGGACCAAUUCUGACGCUGAGGAGCGAAAGCCAGGGGAGCAAACGGG